AAGAACAUUUUUACAUUAACUGACCUCUCUUUAAAGAGUCUGAUAUCAACGUCUUAAUUUUAGGAGUUGGAAUGCAACAUUCCAGAUCCCAGACAGGAUGAUCGGAAUACUAAUAGCUUUUCCUGUCCUUGUGAAUCCCUCAUGUAAAUGAACUAACUAAACCCCGAAUGGGAAUCUGUGUGUGUGUGUGUGAUUCAGUUUUAGGUACUAUUGACUAAGGAAGGAUGCGAGUCCAUUGUGGCACAACAAUGAGAAGGUCUUCCCUCUAGGAGCCCAAUUUGACUCUCAAUGGGUUUGAGGAACAUCUGGGCUGAAGGGGUGACAGUGUAUGGGCCCCCAGCAAGCUAUUCCUUGCCAGUUGCAUUUAAUGCGGGAACACUGUCCAGGACAGGCUGAAAACAAACAUGAAUGGAGCACAAUUCUACAGUUACUGCUCUCAUCUCCUUCCACUGUUCAUUAACAGACAACGACGAGAGCGUAUGACAGCCCUACGUCACAAUAAUACAGAGCUUUGUUCAAGGCUUCCAGUCUCCUCUAUGCUUACAGGCACUGUAUGAAUCACUAUAAUAGACAAUUGAUUGUUCCUGGAUGUGAUGAUACACACUGACCUCGCUAUUUCACAAACACAAGCUAUAAAAUCCCACUGACAUCCAUUGUUCUCAACCUGUAUAUAUACCUUUUGUCAUUUUAAUUUUUUGGGGGGACCUACCAGAAAUGGAAAUUCUAUCAUUUACUCACCCUUGUCAUUCCAAACCUGUAUGACUUUCUUCUGUAGAACAUAAAAAAGAAGAUAUUUUGAAGAAUUUUGGUAACCAAACAGUUUUGGUUCUCAUUGACUCUAUAUUGAUUAUAUGGACAAAAACUACAAUGGAAAUCAAUGGGAACUGAAACUGUUUGGUUACCAACAUUCGUUUGUGUUUUUCAUUUUUGGGUGAACUAUCCCUUUAAGACAUGAUUUGGACCAUUUGAACCUCAUAAGAGGACCCCUUACUAAAUGUGCACACACACAAACACACACUUCACCCUAAAAAAAAGUAUGUUAAAGGUAUAGUUCACCCCCUAAAAAAGAACAAUCUGUAAUCAUUAACUCACCAUCAACCCAAACCCUUGACUGAUUGAUCUUUUCCAUGCAGUAAAUGGUAAAUGAAGGAGUUUAGCCUCAGAAAGAGCACAAAAUCACCACAAAAGUAUCAUAAAAGUUGUUCUUUCAAAGACUCCAUAAAAAAACAAUAGGUUUAUGAGACAAAAAAGCCAAAAUGUAAGUCCUCGCAUUCAUCCGAGCGCUUAUUGAUGAAUUCAUAAGAGUACACGAGAGAACUAGCUAUGUCGGAUUCAUGAAUAAAUUAUUUGUUUUAGUCAGAUCUUGUAAAAAAAUGUUUAAUUCCAUUCACAAAGUUGAUCUGAAUGAUUUGUUUACAUCUGAUUCUCAAGUUCAAUUUACCAACUUGUUUUAACAGCUCAAUAGAGGGGAAGAUUACUGAAUAAUGACUUAAAUUUCUGUGUCGACUCACACGACUGCUACUGUAAAUCUUCAGACGACUUGGGAUGUGUACCACUUUUAUGCCGAUCUUUCUUUAGACUUGACAUCUUCGGUCACGUUUUAUUGUCAAUGCAUGGAAAACAGUGAUUCUUCAAAAUGUCUCCUUUUGUGUUCCACAGUGGAAAGAAAGCCAUAAGUUCUUGGAGCAACAUAAAGGUUCUGUCCUUGAUGGAAGGAUUACCAGGGGUUAUUCUCAAUUCAGAUCAAGAUACGGCCAAGGUUCCUGCUUCAGCAAGGUUGUAUUAGUCAUGUGGAACAAGCACAGCUUGGAAUAUAGCACAGGAAGCAGACAAAUGUGGAAACUAGGCCAGGACAAAGAGGAAAAGAACAGCCAGGAUACUCUUCAAAAAUCACCUUUUGUGUCUGGGUUUGGAACAACACGAGGGGAAAGAAGAGCCCGCCGGAUGGACGGCAGAGACGUACAGUACUGCUGACAUACACACGGCAAAGAUAAUGCACCAAAAAUGAGACGAUGUGAUACGAAAAACAAUAAUAUCAAGCAGCCUGUAAAUAUAGAAGCAAUCACCUGAGGCUGGAGCCGACAGAAGAGAAAACAGAUGGAGAGAGAAGGAGAAAUACGCACAACUGUAUUUAAUGAAACAUUUCACUGCAGGGAGCUUAUCACAAUAUCUGUGGAGCAUUUCACAUAAUACACACACACACAAACAAAGAGAGAGUAGGACUAAGAGAAAGCGAUGGAGAUGGAGAAAGAAAGAAAGUAAAAGCAAUCAGUGUUGGAGAACCUCAUCAUGGUGACUGAGAGGAGAAAUCAGCGGAGGAGAUGCAGUCCUGAGUGGAAUCGGAGCAGACAUUUACCUAAUGUAAUGGAAUUCAAUUUGCAAGCGUGCCUCAGGUGAUCAUUCAUUCCAGAAGAAACUGUUUUGAUCAUUGCAAGCAAAAUAAUAAAAAAAACUUGUUUUUCUACACAGAGGAACAGAUUUGAUUCUUCAAACUGAAACUACAAAUUGGCAAACCUCACUAACAAAAAAGUUAUGGGUGAAUUAAAUUUAAUGGGAGCUAAUAAAUCAUUGCAUUUUGACAGGCAGAAUUGAAUUCAUUUUUAACCAACUUCAUGAGGUGAAUGUAAGGUACUAUCCCUUACUAACCAGUCCAAUUGUUCUAUUAAAAAAAUUGUCGGCAUCCAACUGUACUUACUUAGAAAAAAACUUGACUGAU